rnacentral:rRNA from 1 species
GACGAACGCUGGCGGCGUGCUUAACACAUGCAAGUCGAACGGAAAGGCCCUGCUUUUGUGGGGUGCUCGAGUGGCGAACGGGUGAGUAACACGUGAGUAACCUGCCCUUGACUUUGGGAUAACUUCAGGAAACUGGGGCUAAUACCGGAUAGGAGCUCCUGCUGCAUGGUGGGGGUUGGAAAGUUUCGGCGGUUGGGGAUGGACUCGCGGCUUAUCAGCUUGUUGGUGGGGUAGUGGCUUACCAAGGCUUUGACGGGUAGCCGGCCUGGGAGGGUGACCGGCCACAUUGGGACUGAGAUCGGGCCCAGCCUCUUACGGGCGCCAGCAGUGGGGAACAUUGCACAAUGGCCGGAAGCCUGAUGCAGAAGCCCCCCGUGCGGAAUGACGGCCUCCGGGUUGUAAACCGUUUUCCCCGGUGAAGAAGCGUGAGUGACGGUAAUGGGUAAAAAAGCACCGGCUAACUACGUG